UACGUAGGGUGCAAGCGUUGUCCGGAAUUAUUGGGCGUAAAGCGCGUGUAGGCGGCCUGCUAAGUCCGCUCUGAAAGCCCAGGGCUCAACCCUGGGAGGCGGGUGGAUACUGGCAGGCUCGAGUCCGGAAGAGGCAGAUGGAAUUCCGGGUGUAGCGGUGGAAUGCGUAGAGAUCCGGAAGAACACCGGUGGCGAAGGCGGUCUGCUGGGCCAAGACUGACGCUGAGGCGCGACAGCGUGGGGAGCAAACAGG
rnacentral:rRNA from 1 species